rnacentral:lncRNA from 1 species
AAAAGAAAAGUGUGAGUGGAGUGGAGUGGAGGCUCAUGGGAGAAAUAUGACUUGAAUAAUUGUUUUGUUAUACUUUGAUUUAAUUAUUUAAGGUGAUACCUUUUAAUUCAAGUCUAUUCCCAUAUUAUUAACUUUGGAGGCUCAAGUUGAUACAGAAAGCAAGUCUCAUAGCGAAUAUGAGAUCAAUCAACAAUACUGAGUCAAUAUACCCCAAACUCACUCAAUGAGACAAUGAGGUUGAACGACAAGAACUCGGCUCCAAGAAUACAUCAAAGCACCUAGAGUCAAACAAGGUAGUUCAAAUCAGUAAAGGCUCGCAAGGCUCAUGUAGUAUAGCAGUUCAUGGUGAACUGUUGGAACAUAUCAUAUAAAGAGUUCAACAUCAUAUCAAUCUGAGUCUUUAAAGUCAAUGGUUGAACCCAAAUUAUCCGCCAUGUUGAAGUGUGCAAUCAUAAUCAACAUACGACCAUAUGAAGGCGUUUCGAGUUUCAUGCGAAUGUUAUUUAAGGUAUGAAUGACUUCAAAACGAAUCCUCCUACUUUAAUGAACAUACACGUCCCGAAGACUUUGUAGCAUAUCAUAGGAGGUACUAUAACCUUCAAGAUUUUGCUAUAACAUCUUGAUAUUGAAACCUAAAUGUAACAAGAAGUCGUCUUAUCUCCAUUCACACACUUAUAAUACGCAAUCAUCUUAGAUUUGUUUGUGCUCUUAGUAGAUUCCACACGACAUUCCUCCUCAAGCAUAAAAUCAAGUUUCUCCACAAUAAGUAUAAAAACCAAAAUACGUUUCCAAUCCACACAAUUUUUUCCUUUAAGUUGGUUUUAUGUUAGAAUAACAAAAAGUGACUUAACAGACAUUUUGCUGAAAAAUAACCAUAUACCGAUAUUAAAUAACAAUUUUGCAUAUGAUGAAUGAACGCAUAUCUAAAUCCAUAAAACUAAAAUGAUUUCACAAUUUUUGUUUAUUGUGAUCCAACAUGCACAUCCAUAAGAAACGUCACCGUGUCCAUCAAAUAAUCGAACUACAUGUCCCUUCUAUAGGAAGUCCGUUGUGGCACGAUGCUAACACAUUUCUUUAUUUAUGGAUUGAUAGAAAGAAAGAAUAAAUUUUUAUUUAAAUAAAACACUAUUUCUUCCUCAAUAUUAAAGUAAUGAAUUUUGAUUUUAAAUAAUUAUGAAUUGUUUACAUUACUAAUAUUAAUAUGCAUUUUAAUUCUUAGACAUUUCCCUUUCCAAAAAAAUUUAGUCUAAAUUAAUUAAUCGAGGGAAAAAUUGAUCUCCAAUGAUAUACAUUCUAUUCAUAGUUUCACGAAUGAUAUCAAAAAUAAAUUUAUAUGUUAUGAUUUCUAAAAUAAUAAAAUUUCAAAUAACAAUUUAAAACAUUUAUAAGCAAUAAAUUAAAAACUAUUUGUGGUGCAAAAAUGAUUGAAUCAAAUUAAAAACUAAUGGGGCCUAAACUCUAUAUUUAAUCUAAGUCUUAAGCCCAAAUGAUCCAAUAGUAACGAUUUAAAAUAGAAAAACUGAUUGCAAAUGGGCAAACAAUUUAAAAUAAUUUCAAUCGUUCAAUCAUUAUACAAGCAAUUAUACAUAAAUAUUGCUCGGUGAUUAUGCAAUCAAGAUUUAGAAAUAAUAAGCAUAUGAAUGAUCUAAAUUACUCUAAUAUCAGUUGUUGAAAUGCGGAACAAUAAUUACAUGGAAAAUAAAAAAAUAAAUCUUUAAUUCAAGAUCAUUACUAGAUGUUAACGUAUAUGUUAUAAUUAAAAAACCUAUAUUAAAGAUGUACUCAAGUUCGACAAUCCUUAAUACCAGUAAAUAAUGGGGGGAAAUUGCUUCACGGGGCAUAACCCAGUGGUAUAAAAGGAUAGGAGUGAGGUAGUCUCAACUUUGCUGGCAGUCGCAGUGUGAGAGUUUGAUUUCUAAGAUAUGAAAUUUGAGUGGGAACUAGUAUAUGGACAAGCUCUUAUUCUCUGGUCUGUUGGGACAUAUCCCUCGAAUUAACUCCCUCACGAUGCUCUAGGGGUGGGGCGGUAGGGGCCCUCAAAGUUGGGGUUCAACAUUUUUUAAAAUAAUUGGGGGAAAUAGUAAAGGGUUUGAGAAUCGAUUCUAGCAAAAAUCGAUUUGAAAAAAAGCUUAACACCUAGGCAGAACGGAUUGUUAUCCCUAAAAUAUGAAACUGAUUUGAAAAUAAAUAAAAACUAAAAUAAAUAAUGUUAUACUGUAAACCAGUAAUGAUCUAUAGAUAUAUUAGCACAUUUCAAUUUUAUGAAUGAGAAUUGGUAUUUACCCUGAUAUUGUGAAAGCAAUCCUCUUUAGUGGGCCUUUGCCUAUUUAGUAUUUACUUCCCAUUCUUUAUAUUAUCUUUGUCAUCUUUUCCUUUUUCAAUUUUUGUCGUUUGAUUAUUUUAAAUAAAACGGGUUAAUUAAUAGGAAUUCAGCAAUAAAAUUAACUAGCAAAAAGAGUAAACACAUGCAACAAAAAUGUACACAUCAAUUAUCAAGUGUAUAUUUUCCUUUAAAUAAAAUUUCAGGGAUAUUAAUUUGGGAAUUAAGGGAAAAAAAAGUUGGAAAGGUAAAAAAUAUGUAAAAUUGAAAUGUAAUCCACAUAUCUAAAUAAACAAACAUAUACCUUCCAUAUUUACUCGACAAAUUUGAGGGUUAUUCAUAAGCACAGUUAGUAUAGCACCUUUACUUUCAGGGCUUCUUUGGAUAGCACCACUGCUACUGUUUAACCAUAUCCUAAUAUCCUUCAAUAGGAGAAAACUUUAAAAGGGAAGAAGAAAAAAGUACAAGCUAAUCUCUCGAUAAUAGGGAAGAGGUUUAUCAAUUCUCCAUCAAAUAUUCCCCUUCCUCUCUCUUGCUUGCUUGGUUUGGUAAGGGUCAAAGGAAGUUCAUGGUUUGGAGUUUAUGGUAUGCCGUAUGCACAAGUGGUAUCCUUAGUAACGCAGACUCCUAGUACAAAUUAAGUACACUAGUACUAAAAUAUAUGUCAAUGGCCAGCUUAGUAACACAGAUUCAUAGUACAAAUUAAGUAAACUAGUCACUUUUCAAAAGAGUAAUUAGCACAAAAUAUCUCUAUCUUUCAUCAUUUUUUGUGGAAAACGUUCAUACCUUUCUUUUUUGGCGCAUUUCAUCACUACCUUUACGUUUUCUUAUGAAAAACAUCAUUUUUAUCAUUUUUCUCAAUAAAAAGCUAUAAAAUGACUAAUAUACCUUUCUAUUUAAAUAAAAAAAUUGAAGAACUAAUUGCAAUCAUAGUCCCAAUUUUUAAAAAAGUUCAAAAGAGUCCCAAAUAAAAAAAAAAAAUUCUCCACCUCCACCUCCUCCACCACUACCACCACCAAUUUUCGUUAGCUACCCCGACCACCGAAAACUACCCUCCAUGCCGACGGCCUCUCACCUACAACACAAUUUGAACAAACAUCCCAUCCAAACAUCCAUUUAGAGACAAAAAUUAGUGGAAAACAACCUUGAUUUUUUGCGCCCUAUACAAAUUGAUUCCACAACUUUUGACAACACUCAUGGCCAUCCACUGCCACCGGUCAUCUCCCCUUAUCUACGCCAACGUCGUAAUGGAUUAACAUCACCAAAAUAGGCCUUAAAUAUUGCUGAAUUUUUUAGUAAAACCAACCUGAUUCGCGAGCACAAUGAAGCAGUAGCACCUCUUCCAAUUAAUGGGCCCAAGCUAUUUUUCCACCAAAUUGCCACCAGUCGAGUGUCCAGCAACCUCAUAAGACCUUGGGUGUGCAUUCAAUUGAUUCAAUCCAACCUCCAAUUGAUCCAAUUUUUCAAAGCAAUUCUACACAAAUUCUUCUUGGGCAGAUGUGCUUCCGCUUUCUCCUCCUAUUCCUCCUCUCUCAGUUCCACACCAAUUCUCUUUCCAGAGGACUCUUCACCCGUUCAAUCCUCCAUAUUUUCAGUCACAAGGGUCACCGUUGACCAGGGAUUAUUCACACUUGAUGAAAUCCAGUAAUACUUUAUGGAUAUGGUAAUGGAACUUACGGUUACAAUAGUAAUGUUAUAGCCAGAGCUAGAGCUGGAGUUAGAACAAGAGCAUUAGCUCCACAUCAGCUUGGAACGGUGUAGAUGCAAACGGUGGGUGGGGUUGGGGUUGAGCGAAUGGUGUUUGAAUUAAUGCCGGUGGUCCAAGGGACGGGUGCAGAAAAAACGACUUAGGCUGUUUGGUGUGAACAUGGAGUGUCUCAUAUUGUCUUUACAACUGUAUUGGGACUUUUAGAGCUUUUUAUUUUAUUUUUUAUUUGGGACUCUUUUGAACUUUUUAAAAAAAAUUGGGACUAUAAUUGCAAAUAGUUCUUUAUUUUUUUUUAUUUAAAUAGAAGGGUAUAUUAGUCAUUUUAUAGAUUUUUUUGAAAAAAAUGAUGAAAAUGAUGUUUUACACAAGAAAAAAUAAAUGUAGGGAUGAACUGCUUCAAAAAAUGAAAGGUAUAGACUUUUUUCCACAAAAAUCAUGAAAGGUGAGGACGUUUUGUACUAAUUGUCCCUAUUGAAAAAUAAUUCUUAUUUUACUAUCUAAAUAACUUAUUUAUCAAUAAAAAUAUUUAUUUUAAAAUUGAGUUGUUUAUUUUAAAUUUACUUUAAGUUACAUUUCAAGAUUACCCCGUCAUGAGUAGACGUAGAAUGAAAGGCAUCCGGAAGCUAAAUGCUCAUUUGAUUUAUGUUUCAAUUUUGUGUUUUGAAUUUAAUUUCAGAUUUUUGUUUCUAUAGGAUGUUUUUAGAUUGCUAAAAAUAUGUUUGGUAUAUCAUUUUGUAAAAUUAUUUAUCAAAAUAAAAAAAUUAGAAAACACGUUUGAUUUGAAAUUCUGAAUUUUAUGACAUUUUAUUCAUUGAAAAUUAAUUAUUCAAUAAAAAUAGAAUAAUCUUAUGUUAAUAUUUUAUUAAGUAAUAUAUACAUUUUAAGUUGGUAAAUUUUACAAUAUUUUUUCUCGAAUUUUUAUGUAAAUAUCAUUAAUAUCUUGAACUAUUUUUAUUUUUUAUUUUUUCUAGAAUUUUUAUAAUUUUAUUUUGUUAAAAUUUUAAUUUUAAUUUUUAAUUUUUUAGAAUUUAUCAAUUUUAUUUUCUGAAUCUUAUUUUUUAACAUUUUCAAUUUUUAUUUGUUAGAAUUUGUAUUUGUAUUUUGUAAAAUUUUCAAUUUUUAAAAUUUAUUUAAUAAAAUUUUAUUAAAACUCUUAUUUUUCAUGUUUUGCUAAAAACACUCAAAACAUUAAAAUGCAUUUUGAGUUUUAUGUUAUAAAUUUAUCAUUGUUUUCGCAAAUGCAUUUUCAAAAAUAUCUUAUAAAAUAUGUUUUUAGUAUUUUGCAAAUUGAAAACUAAGAACAGCAAACCAAACGCAUCUUAAGCUUCUUGUUUCAAAGCAUAAGCCAAUUUCGAUUUCACAUAAUUAUGUUUAACUGAAGUAAUUAGAAAGGAUGGCUUCUCAUAUUUGGUUUUUGUGAAACAUUCAUAUCUUGCAUUUUUGAGACAUGUGGCAAGCUUAUUAUGUGUUUUGAUAUGAUUGAAUACAUUGAGGAUAAUAUUUAAAUGAAUAUAUAAAACUUUUCGACCUUGUCCACGUGUCGAAGUACUGACUACCGUGCACUUGAACAAAGUGAACAAGUAUGCGAAUAAGCUCACUCACUGUGACACCCAUCUCGUUGCACCAUGCCCCAAAUCCAUUUUUGCCAUAGUUUCCAUUGCUUGCAAACCAAAAUUGCAAUCUGUAUGUGUCGCAGCAUUUCAUGCAACCUGCUUUGGUAUAAUUUGUUGCGAAUCUCCUAUGAGAGAGUACUAGAUAGUAGUAAAGCCACAUAAAAGGCUUGAGGUUCCAUCUUGCUGCCAAUAAAAAUUGUGCAUCUUUAAGAUCAUGGAUCAAAAAGUGAAUCUUGUUGCAGUUAACCGAGCUUGUUGAAGACAAAAUGUAAAUGGUUAACAAGACCUCUUGGGAUAUUUGUUUAGUAUAUAAUCGAGGUUUAACUUUCCCUUUGAUAUCUUGGGGCACGACAUAAUAGUAUAAGAGGAAACUAAGUGUUAUGUGACAUGAAGUGUUAUAUGUGGUAAGUGUAUAUUAUACACUUACUCGGGUCUUUAAAUAUAGAUGUUUCAAAAAAAACUUUGAUUAAUUAUGGCCUAAUUUAUUGUAUAUUUUGGAAGAUAAAAUGAAAGAAAGAAGCGAAAAUUAACAAAAAAAUAAAAAAAAUGGCAAAAUACAGAGUAUGGGGACUAAAUUAUAACAUUCUAAUAGUUGAUUCGGUCCACAAAAUGAAGAUUGAAAAAUUGUAUGGUUCAAAUUUAAUGCAAAUAGAAGUUAAAGGAGCAAAAUAGAAUAAUUCAAAUUGAAAUGUUCAAAAUCAAGAAAAGAAUGAAGAAGAGGACCAAAACGCAAAAAUUGGGAAAUCGUUAUAACUGGGUGAAUAUGGAUCAGGCACAUGCCCGGACCUUGAAAUAAAGAACAUUUGAGUAUCAGGGCUCGCGGCCAAAAUAAUUUUUUUCGUUAAGAAUUUUACUCAAACAAGGAAAGUUCUUUUUGGGGCCAUUAUUUGCACGAAUUUUAGAGACUUUUGGUACUCCUUGAAGAGUAGCAUAAAUAACAAUUAUCAACACAUAAUUAGGGGAAGAAUUGAUUGUGAAUAACGUAAGAUCGAAUUCAUGAAAUUCAAAUAUCACAAUCAAGAAUCGUGGGUGAUGAAUUAUCUUUAUUUCUUUUAUUUUCUUCUUCUCAAUACGUUAGGCUAAAUUAUUCUUGAACUGAGAUUAUGAUGAAUCUUAUAUCAUAAAUCUUUAACUCUUGAUUUUAUUUAUUUUUGACAUUCGAAGCACGUUUUCAAUUUUUAAUAAUUGACACAUGUUUAUGCUUCUCUACAAUUAUAUGUACAAUAGUUGUAUGAAUUUUGUACCUUAUUUUACAUUUGAAAAAUUGAAAAUAAGUUAGACAUGGUGUCAAUGAUCGCAACGUUUGAUGAAAGAUAGGAAUAUACUGCUAUACUUUACGUAAUAUUUAAGUAUUUAUAAAUUAUUAAUACAUUCUUAUAUGUUCCCAUCUGUCAUAGAAAUAUAGUCAAAUCACAUGUAGAAUAAAUUUAAUUCUAAUCGAGUGAAGUUGUUAAAUAAUUUAGGAAUAUUGAUCUUCAUAAUGGAAUCAUAUUUUACUUGUUUAAUUUUAUUUUUAUAUUACACUAAAAUGAGUUGAAGAUUUUGCUAUAUUUAUUAUCUCAUUCUCUAUUGAUGAUAAAAGUGGGCAUAAUGAAAAUUAAAUGUAGCAAAGUAUAUAAAUGUUUUUCAUCUUUGUAUAUUAAUUAAUUUGAAAAUUAACUUAUUUUUCUAGUAUGUGUAUAUAUAAUUUUAUUAUAACCAGUUCAAUCUAGGUUUAACACUAGUUCGACAUUUUGACCCUUAACCUUUUUACUUUUGAAAAUAUUGUUAAAUAAAGCAAUUUUAUUAUACAUACAUUCUAGUUGACGUUCUGAUUUACAUUCUGUGAUGUGGCACAUAAUUUCACUAUUGAUUUGUCCAACACUUAAACAAUCAAUGAUCUCGAUUUUUCCACUUAUUCAAAUGUCAUCCAAGUUGUACACAAAUGAUGUACGACUAACAUAAUUCUAAAUAAAGCUAGUUGUGGACACAACAACUUGAGUAUGACGAUUUCCUUGUGGGAACUAAUUUUUCCUCAACAUAAUGGUUUGCUUAUGGUGUCGAUAGCAGCUGGAAAAAAUGAGCGGAGUUCUUCGCUUCUCCAAUAAUGCCAAAGUCGGUAUUUGUAGAGAACAAACGAACGAAUAAUAACACCAGUUUGCACUUGAAAAGUGUACCUUAUAAAGUGGAGUUUUCUGCUGGUGUUGGACUUUUACUUACUUCAGAUGUCUCAAGUGGAGCCCAAAAAAGAUUAACCGACAUACUGUUUAGCUAAUCGCCUGGUGUAUCAUCAUCGCUACUUUCAUACUUAGCCCCUGUUUGACAACUAUUACUUGAAAUUUUUUUUUUUACAUACUCAUUUUCAACAAUAUAUUCACAUAAUAAAAUAUUCUACACGUAACUACAAAACUUUUUCUUACUUUUUAACCACAUAUUUUCUUAAAAAUCACUAUUCAAAACAUUGUUUUUUCUAAAUAAGAGAAAAUCCCUCCAAAUGGUCAAUGAACUUUGCAGAAAAUCUCCUAUGAGGUCACCGAACUUCAUUACGUCCCUGAAUAGUCAUUGAACUUUUUCGAAGUCCCCCAAGAGGUUACCGAACUUCAAAACGUCCCUGAAUGGUCAUAAAUUGGGACCCCUUACAUAAUUAGUUUAGUGACCUCCCAGAGACUUCGGCAAAGUUCAGCGACCAUUCAGGGGCGUUUUGAUAUUCGGUGACUUCUUGGGAGACUUUGGAAAAGUUCAAUGACUAUUCAAGGGCGUAUUGAAGUUCGAAGAUCUCCUAGGAGAUUUUUUGCAAAGUUCAGUGACCAUUGGGGGUAAUUCCUCCCCAAAUAAUGAUAAUCAAACCGGGGCUUAAUUUCUAUUGAAGUUAUUGGUAUUCAAUUUAUCUGCAUCUAUGCAGUAAAAGAUCUGAACUUACAAAAUAAAGAUCGUUUCAUGGCACCUUACAACUUGCAAGCAAUAUAGCAGUUCAAUAAAUUUACAGGUGCGGAAAUCAAAUAUUGAAAUCUCCACAGAUGUGUUUAAGCAUACAUAAGUCACUGAACUUUCCAUCAAGAGAUGAUAAUUACAUUACUUUAUUAGUUGCAUAAUGAUAAUAUGCUGAACAAUCAAUCAGAUAUUGAUCAUCAGCUUCACAUAGUUUCUGUGCCAUCUUCCCUGGCAACAAGUUCUUUCAAACGAUAUAGCAGCAAAUGGAAGUCAUCGUCGCUCUUAAGAAGGCUGAGACGUACAUAGCGAUCUUCAGAAUUGAACAAGCUACCCGAACGACCUAUGAUGUUUGCUGCACCUAGGACAUCAUUACAAUUUGUGUCUUCUUCCCUCUCACAUUUGAACCAGACAUAUGCUGUCAUCAGUAUAAAACUGUCAGCUUUGAAAGUUUUCCUAUCUAGAGCCACAUACACGUCUAUUUGCCUUUAGACGAAAUCAUAUCAGACCAACUUCCUUUAAAAGCUUUCUAACUAUUCGAAUCACUUUCAUAAAAUUAGCCAAAUAUGUCCAAAAGCAGCUUUUGAGUCUCAAAAGCUCCUUUUGGAUUUUCAAAAGCCAUGCUGAAUGUGCCCUUAAUCUAUUAAGAUCACAUUGAAGGGAUUUAUAUAACAAAAUUUCUAUUUAAAAUUAUAAAUUUUGACGAACCUAAAUUCUAACUUUCAUGUGCAGGAAUGAAUGUGUCAAGUGAAGAUCACCUGGAGAUGGACCCCUGAUUUUCUCAAAGAAGUUGCAGUAUUGAGGUGGAAUUUCUUGGAUAGUAAAACGCUUC